UCUCACCCAGAUCAGAGCUACCAGGGGAUGUAACAUUUAAAGGGGUACCCCUAGGUUUAGGGGUACAUCCAGAAACUCAGGGAAUUUGUGUGCUGUAUAAGGGGAUUAUGAGUCAGGCUUAGGGGAGGAGAUGUGUGGGAGGUUACUCAGGUAUGAUUGGACACUGUACUAAUGACUGUAAAUCCCUCCCUUGCAUGGGAGAAUGCUUUAUAAGGCCACUGUGUGAAUAAAAGUUCAGUUCUGCUCC